UGGGGAUGUCGAGGUAUUUCUCAGCCACUUCGAAGGCAUUGUUCAGGUUGGUGACAGGGUCGUCCUUCCUCAGCUUGUCAUACUCAAUCAGCUCUGGUCUGUGCCGGUGGAUCAGGGCAUUGAAGGCAAGACCAUCCUUCCAGCUGAUGUGGAAGUUCUGCACAUUGACGUUCUUAUAUGGGGCUGUCUUUCUCUGGCACCAGAGAAGGAGCCCUUCCUUGGCCGAGGUCUCUUCCACGGAGAUGUCCUGGAUGGCGAACCUAAGGAUGAUGGUCCAGAUCAUUCCCAGGGUCAUCUUUGCGUUGCCGUCCACAAUCUCUUCUGCCCCGAUGGAGACCAGCUUGACGCCUUUGCUGGCAAUAAAGUCCAGCGCUUUGUUCACAUUG
rnacentral:misc_RNA from 1 species